AACAUUAUAAGUGCACCUCAGGAAACAUUAUAAAUAAUAAUAAAUCAGUUGGUGAAGCGACUCAGACGCCUGCAGUGAAAUCUGUUCAUCUAGGAAACACAUUCACCAUGUCCUGUAAAAGCAGUCCUGACGUCUAUCAGAGUUGGGAUCAUCAACCUCUAUCCUGGUUCAGUGAUAAAGAGUCAAAAACCUCCGUCAGUCAGAGUCACAGUGAUUUGUGCUAGAAACACUGAAUAAGUUCAUUCACAAAUAUGAGGCUGCAGCAGAUGAGAAGAUUUGAAGUCAAUAACAUCAUUUUAGAGCUUCAGACGACUGAGAAUAUCGAGCACAGAUACCCUGAAGACAUCAAACAAGUGAUCAACAGAAUUUGGAUUCAUCAGAUUGUUGAGAAGAUAUAGUUUUAUAAGUGUAUUGAGCCAUGGCUAAAUGAACUAUCUUCUAAACGCUUUGACUAAUUAAAAUCCUUUUGAUAA